GCACUUUGCACCAUCUGACUAACUAAAUGGUUGUCCUCCAUACCAAAAAGACUACCACACAAUCUAAGGAAAUUGUCUCUGACUAGGUCAUGUUUGCAUUUGAAGAAUUCAGAGCUGUAAACUUACCUCCCUGAAGUCUUGUUGCUGGCAAACAACAGAGCCAGACCUGGGGCAGAGCUGGAGCUGUUGUCCAUGGUGUUCUCACUUCCCCACACUGACUCCAUAUGAACAGAGUAUCUGCCAAGCCCGGGCUUCCGUCAUGGUCUACGAUGACACCAGUAAGAAAUGGGUACCAAUCAAACCUGGCCAGCAGGGAUUCAGCCGGAUCAACAUCUACCACAACACUGCCAGCAAUACCUUCAGAGUCGUUGGAGUCAAGCUGCAGGAUCAGCAGGUUGUGAUCAAUUAUUCAAUCGUGAAAGGGCUGAAGUACAAUCAGGCCACGCCAACCUUCCACCAGUGGCGAGAUGCCCGCCAGGUCUACGGCUUAAACUUUGCAAGUAAAGAAGAGGCGACCACGUUCUCCAAUGCAAUGCUGUUUGCCCUGAACAUCAUGAAUUCCCAAGAAGGAGGUGCGUGCAUCCUCUAAUGACAAAGCAACCUUGUAUUGCCUUUC
rnacentral:sRNA from 1 species